rnacentral:rRNA from 1 species
AUGUUAUCCACAUGCUUCAUCAUCGCUGCCCUGUGCGCUAUCAGGACCGUUGUCUUGUUCCCCAUGACCAAUGUGUCAAGAGCUUCCUGUACCACUCUACUUGAUUCAGACUCGAUCGCAGAGCUGGCCUCGUCCAACAACAAUAUCGGCGCAUUCUUCAAAACCACUCUAGCAAUGGCAAUACGUUGCUUCUGCCCAGGUGUCAGAUCAACCCCUCGCAUUCCCACAUGA